AUGAAGUUCACCUAUGUGCUGGUUGGCUGGGAAGGGUCAACACAUGAUGCUAACAUUCUCAGUGACAACAUAAGUCGUCCUGAUGGCAUCAACAUCCCCGAAGCCGAUGCAUGUCGGCCAGGUAUUCUUCCACCCUUCAGGAAAACCAGGUACCAUUUGAAUGAGUUCGCUGAUAGGAACUAUCCUAGGACUCCACGUGAGCUAUUCAAUCUCAGACACUCCAGCCUUAGAGUUACUGCUGAGAGGGCCUUUGGAGCUCUGAAGAACAGGUUAAAUAUCCUAGAUCAAAAGCCAUUCCACACUUUCCCCACUCAGGUUAAGUUUGUUCUUGCUUGUUGCAUUCUGCAUAACUGGAUCCUGUAAUAGGGUGUUGAUGAACUGAUGCCUGAGGAGGAAGAUGUGACGGAAGACGAUGUUGUCAGCUUCGGCCAUGGUGUGGAGACAUUUGACAAUGAACCCUGA
rnacentral:rRNA from 1 species